UACAGAGGGUGCGAGCGUUAAUCGGAAUUACUGGGCGUAAAGCGUGCGUAGACGGUUAUUUAAGUCGGGUGUGAAAUCCCCGGGCUCAACCCGGGAACUGCGUCCGAUACUGGCAGGCUUGAAUCCGGGAGAGGGAUGCGGAAUUCCAGGUGUAGCGGUGAAAUGCGUAGAUAUCUGGAGGAACACCGGUGGCGAAGGCGGCAUCCUGGACCGGCAUUGACGCUGAGGCGCGAAAGCCAGGGGAGCAAAGCGGG
rnacentral:rRNA from 1 species